UUACAAGCAUGGGACUAUGAUGGCGGGAUAGUGUUACUUGCUCCGCAGUCCGCUUGUAACAUGUUACUAUACUUUGAGUGGGAAAUAUAUUGUCACUGGGUGACCAUCAGCGAAGUGACUAUAGUGACUGUUUUUCUAAAUCUUGUUACAACCAUACGUGCUAGCUGGGAUGUCAGUGAUUCUCAAACAUCGUUUUCUGUGCCGAUGUUUUAUUUUGGUUAUGUGCAACUCGAAAAUAGAAGUUGCAAAAUAUUGUUAAAAAAAGGUCAAAGGAGGGUUUCGUGAAAGCCAAUAGCGGAACUCUACCUAAAAUAGAUAUAUUUAUGGUAUUGGUGUAUUUUAAGAAUAAUUGUGACCUCGUAAGUGCAGGAAUACGAGGAGUGAAAGUGAAACGACGUUGAUCAUCGACGUAGCUGUAACUUUAUGUAGUUCGGCAUUGCCUUUUCUUUGUCUAAAGACAUUUGCACGACUAAGAUAUACAAAGAAAAGAUUAUACGGCAAAAGCAUUGGAGGAUUGCAUUUUCUAGAAAUUGCACAACUCUCUGACGCAACUUGAAGGGAUGAAGUAGAGGGUCGAUGACGUAUUACGGUAUCACGUUUCGUGAUGCUAUUUAUUCACGAUUAUGAGAUUCACCGACUUUUCAAUCGUAUAGGAUGAAAACUUACAAGCUCCAAGGUCGUUAUGAGGAUACCGACUUCAAUUACUAAAACAGAUUUCAGAAAACUGAAUUUGUGCGUUCCGAGGAUUGAUGCCGUCCAGCGGUACCUUGAUGAGAGGAGCUGCGGGUCCAAGAGGGCAAGCGCUGCUCAGUCAAGCAUGACAAACAACAGGAGGACCGCACUCAGCGCUAGUUUCAUCAGGUUGCGUCAUACAUCCAGACUAUUUAGUACAAAGUUCGUCUUCAUUUGUUGAAAACUCAACUAUUGAGUUAUUCGUCUCUUUUUGGUUUAAAAUACAACUACUUUGUUGAAAUAUCCAAUGUAUUUCUAUGUAAAAUCUUAAGCGUUUUAUAUCGAAUUCGAUAAUUUGUACCUAAAAGGGCUGGCGGAGGGUGUUCGUAUUUGUAACGUCACCCUAAUGGGUUUAUGCGUAAUUUGAUUAUAUGUGACGAAGAAUAGAAGGAUCGAAAAAAUGUUCAAAAUAUCCUAACGUAGUUUUUGAACGGCCCCUUAUUUAACUUAAUGAAGAAUAAAUCAGAUGUAAAAAUUAUUAACAGGGUUCACAGUUCAGCCCGUUUAUGUAACCGUUCGGUUACAUAAGCAUCAUCCCAAUGGUAGAUUGAGAGGAACCUACAUUUUCCGUCUGCGUAUGAAAGGCGUGUAAAUACAACUUUAAACGCUAAAAACGGUUAGGUAAUUGUGUGUGUGUGUGUGUGUGUGUGCAUUUCUGUAAAAAUUACAAAUCACAAUCUAAAAGCUAUAAGUAUGACAAUAAAAUUAUUGUUGGCAUCACUAAAAAUAAUGUUACCCUACCUUUGUUCAGAAUUACUAACUAUAAGUUAUAUAGAACCACCCUUACAUUUGGUUUAACUACCCCUUUAGAACAAUAUUUUGCUUCUUUCACAGUUCUUAACAUAAUUUUUUGUAAGAAAAGUCCUAGUAUGUCAAUCUUGAUAACAAAAGUGUUAGUGCCAUCUUUUUCCGAAAAGUGUUUUGUUCACGGAGAAACUUUUAAUUCACAGUAAAUCCUCGAGAUAUUAUUCAUCUGAAGUUAGAUAAAAACACUGCAAACAAUUUAAAACUUCAAUUACCAGACCGCAGAUUAUUUUUAUCACGAGGCGUAUAUUAGGACCUUUAUGGAAUUAAUUGAUAUAUGGCUUGGUUUUACAAGUUAGCCAAUUGCCUAAUAAAAAAAGGUUUUUGUUCCUAAUUUUGUUAUUGACGUGAAAAAUCCUUUUUUCAUUUUCUGGUUUUCGCACUAUAAUCUUUUUUUUGGCUGACAUUGAAGAAUGUUUUAAACAUAUUAGAUGUUUGAACUGAUAAAAAUACAUUAAACACAAAUUUAAAGUCAGUGAAAGCGAAAACAAAAAAGUAGGGGUUUAAAACAGUUAUUUUUGCGUUUUUCAAAUUAUUACUUUCUAGCUUAUCUUCAUAAAUACUUUAAACGAAUAACGGCUCUAUAUUGAAAAUAAUGUACUAUAGAA